GCGCUUUUGGUCUAAUGGCUAUGAUUUCUGACUUCCAAUCAGACGGUACGAGUUCGAUUCUCGUAAGGCGCU
rfam:Bacillus thuringiensis serovar israelensis ATCC 35646 sq1932, whole genome shotgun sequence.